UACGUAGGUGACAAGCGUUGUCCGGAUUUACUGGGCGUAAAGAGCGCGCAGGCGGUCGAUCAAGUCGAGUGUGAAAGCCCCCGGCUCAACUGGGGAGGGUCAUUCGAUACUGAUCGACUCGAAGGCAGGAGAGGGUAGUGGAAUUCCUGGUGGAGCGGUGAAAUGCGCAGAUAUCAGGAGGAACACCCGUAGCGAAGGCGGCACUCUGGGCCGAUACUGACACUGAGGAGCGAAAGCGUGGGGAGCGAACAGG
rnacentral:rRNA from 1 species